GAUGAACGCUAGCGGCAGGCUUAACACAUGCAAGUCGAGGGGUAACAGGUUGUGCUUGCACAAUGCUGACGACCGGCGCACGGGUGCGUAACGCGUAUACAAUCUGCCUUUUGCUGAGGGAUAGCCCAGAGAAAUUUGGAUUAAUACCUCAUAGUAUCAUAAUUAGGCAUCUAAUAAUGAUUAAAGGUUACGGCAAAAGAUGAGUAUGCGUUCUAUUAGCUAGAUGGUGUGGUAACGGCACACCAUGGCAACGAUAGAUAGGGGCCCUGAGAGGGGGAUCCCCCACACUGGUACUGAGACACGGACCAGACUCCUACGGGAGGCAGCAGUGAGGAAUAUUGGACAAUGGAGGCAACUCUGAUCCAGCCAUGCCGCGUGCAGGAAGACUGCCCUAUGGGUUGUAAACUGCUUUUAUACAGGAAGAAACCUUUUCACGUGUGAGAAGCUGACGGUACUGUAAGAAUAAGGAUCGGCUAACUCCG
rnacentral:rRNA from 1 species